GACGGGCCAGACGUAAACACGAGGUACUUCUCCAAACGUAUAAAUAAUGCCUCUCGUCGUAUUAAUCGGUCGCUACGCCAGUCAUCUCGGUUCUACACGUGAAUUAUGUUCCCGACGUCUUUAACCAUUUCUGUGGAACUUACAUCAAGUAUACGACGCUGCUGUUACCGCCGAUUAAAUUUACCGUGUUCUCUGUGGACAAGGUAACGGAUGCGAAUUGCAACAGACUCACCGUGAAGUUGCGUUUGGAUUUACAUAACUUAUUCAGCUGUUUAUAGCUUUGCCAUAGACUCGAUGGAAAUUGUAAGAGUGCUUAUGCCGCGCGAGACAAUGCUGUGGAAAUUAUAGGUUAGGAGAGGCAGUGUGUAUAUUUUAUAUACCAGAGGUUAUUCAGCCAAAACGGACCACCACAUAGUUUUACCAUAGGACUGAAAUGGGCGCGUUAACUUCAGGUGCGUAAUUCACGUGCGGGAUCGUUUAAGAAAAUUGCUUGGCUGUUUGUACCAGUAAUCGAUGACGUCACAGAUCGAAAGACCCCAACCUAAUCAAAUUGUACGUCAGACUACAUACUUUCUCGCAGAGUAUAUAUCAAGCACUCGGUGAAUUUUAAAACUGCUCGUAAGGUCAGUUUAUAUAUGGAAGAUCCUUGGACCCUUAAUCAAUGCUACCGCGAGGAAUUUCAAGUCACGAGACAUCGAAGACGGCAAAUGGAAAAUACGAAAUUUCGAUUUCGUCCCUGGUAAAGGAAGGGUACAGGCUGGUAAUAGGGAUCUCGUUGCUUCUCGACCAAGUGGGUUGUACCGCUUUAAAUCUUUUUAGAAGCACCGGGGUACAUUAACGCUGGAUAUCCAUCCCCUUAACCCACUUGGCUCGAGUGUUCGAAUUCUUAAUGAAUUUUCACUGGGAAAGUAAUAGAGUACGGGCGAAUGAUGUACGUGGAAAUAUGAUGAAUACGGUGGAAAAAAAAGAAGGGAUGCCACGGAUUGCGGAAUAAACAAGAUGACUGAUUCGAUUUUGAAUUGGCUGGCUCUUCGACUUGGACUGUUGCACAAUUGGACUUUACGUCAGGAAACAAUGGUCUCUAUGGACCGGGAGAAUGAAGUUUCAACUGGGUGUAGGGACUGCCAGGUAUAUGGAGGCUGUAGAGAACCAGGCGCAUCAUAAAUCACGACUACGCUUCCAGUAUGGCGUUAGAGCUCGGCCUUUUCGGAGGGUCUCAAACUCUGAAUGCCACCAUCCGGGCAGGUGUAGCCCGUCAUUUCUUAACCAUUCCACUUCACGGUUCUAUACCUUUAAAAGUUCUUCAAAGGAAACAGCCUUGAGAUUUCAUUGGAUGCAUGCGCGAGUUUGAUAGAGGACAAAAAAAUCAAGUUUGCGAAAUGUCACAUGAAUUGAUCACUAAAUAAGACUGCCUGACGUGAUACCAACAAUUAAAUGUCAUGAUAAAAAAAAAUUGUUUUCUUUCCAAACGUAGCUUUAAUUAGUGAUAAAUUUAUUUUUAUAUUUCAAAUUACUCGUGGGAUUCUUUUUUUCUACUUUAAGAACAUUCAAAUGUUUAAUAUAGUUUUACACGGUAGCUAAUGAUUCUAAUUUAACUAUUUCUUAGGUGGUUAAGUUAAGUAGUCGAGUGUUGUGUAAAUUAAUGAUGACGUUCAAAAGACUCGACGACUAAGUUGAAUUUUUAUGGCCGUAUAAGGAAGAUAAGCCAGAGAAGCGUAAUCGUUUGAUCGGCGAAGGUAUCUGUGAUUUUAAAGAUAAUUGCUUAAUUAAAAUGCUCGUAAGCCAACAAGGCAGCCACGGGUAUGACCGGCGGUCACUUUUAUUAUCCCGCAGUCAUUUUCAUCGUGUAUCCGCUCUUUUCUUUUUUUAUUAAAAUAUUUAUGUUUACUGUCACCCGUAACGACGGAUGCAUUCAUAAAUAAAUAAAUCGUCUCGUUAAAACUAAAGAUUCACCAGAAAAAAAAUGGGUAUAAAAUAUUUCUAAAAAUUCGAAUUUACAUCAAUCCCAAAGAAUUAAGGACGACCAAUAAAACUGCCUGCGAUACAAAAACGCAGGGCAAUUAAAACUUCGUAAAGUGCAAACGAGCAUAAGUUAGUCGGGCAUAUGUCAUUUUUGAAUAGUUUUGAAAAAUGUAUACUUUUUUUUUUUCGCAUCUGAACAACAAAGCUCUCUUGUUCCGUUCAGUCGAUAUUGUAACACCCGAAAUCGUAGAAUCAAGUCGAAAUUCGAGCGUGUCGAUUAAAUACGUACGUAGCGGCGGCGGCGGCGGCUGGUAAAGCAACCCAAUAGCAAUCAGGUAUUUAAAUUGACAUCAAACAGUGACAGAUUGACCACCUGACUUGGUGGAAAAUUCGUGAUAAUGCUGUUCGACGAUAAUCCAUUCAUUUUGAUCGAGUGACGAUUGACCGGAGAGUAAUUCCUAUCGCUUAGGACACGCGUAACCAAUAUAAAAGUUACUAAAAAAGUGCUGAAAGUUGAAUUAAAGAAAUUUUGUUAUUACCACUAA